AGACCAUAGCCGAGCUUGGCAUAGCCGAGUAGAUCUACCUGUCGUAUUCUGUCCUGAUAUACCAAAUCUUAAAUUGCACUCACAUGCUUUCUAUUAUGUGUUGUGACUUUUAAAUUAUACGCAUGAUAUGAUUUUCUGGUCAUAUGCACAAUCUAAAAUAUUGAGCCUAAGGCCUCACUUUAUAUUAACUCUAACUGAGAAGGCUUUACCUCAGAUCCACAAAUGCAAAUGAAUAGCAUUCAAGCCAAAGUGAUCAUUGUCCCAGUAAAACGGACGUUGUUGAAUUUAUUUCCCGACUUUACGACCAGGACAGAGAUCCUCCGAAGAAGUGCAUAUGUAGAAGCAGUAAACGGAAGUCGGUUUAUUUGGCCAACGCAACCGCGUCAGACAACCUGGGAACGAAGAGCAGCAGCAUCACGCAAGAGGAAAAGUUGGGACCAGGCAAAGUCAUCCCGGGAUCUGGGAUGUACGUUGUAACUUAUGGCUGGUCGUUACCACCACUGAACUCGCCGGAUGCUGAAUGAAACGAAGAGUGAAAGUGAGAAGAAAGUGAGCGUGUGCAAAUACCCAUCACACUGCCCAUGAAACCAGCGACGCACUUCGCUACCAUUUCAGCUCACAUGAAGAAAGCAGCAUAACCAUUUGGGCGAAAAAAAUAUUCUGGACAGAGUAGAAAGAAAGUAUGGGCGUCUUAUAUCACAUACGCAUACCGCACCCAACAUAAAAAAGGAAUGAAUUAAAACCAUAUCCGUCAUGCAUCCCUGACUUUUGUGUUAUUAGAUUGCUUCUUCCUCUUAAACUGGCAAUGAUUCAAUUUGGAUAUAACACCACAUCCACAUCGUCGUAAUAAUAAGUAAUUUAAAUAUACCAAUUUUUGGGUUGCUCAAGUUUAUGUACACGAUUACUGCUCCCAUAAACCGCCUUGUAAUAAGAGAUAAAUAAACCAAAACCGCAGUGCCUGUGGUUGUUCUCUUUUCUGAAUUACCACUGAACUACCAAGGAUAAGGCCACACAGCGACAAAACCAGAGUUUUAAGAAGUAAUAGGAGAGAAAGGAAGGAUUCGUUCAGCGAAUACUCCACUUUUUCAUAUAGCGUAAUACAUAUACGAAGCAUAGCAUUACAUCACAUCGCAUUUCCAGCCUUUUCAGUGGGAAGCAAUAUCGGGAGUGAAUAAAAGCAGCUCCAUCAGAGAAGAAGAGCGAGGCGAAGGGCGAGUCGAUACGAGCGAACUGCUCAGUCUCAAUCCAACCAGCUCCACUGCAAACACACCUUGCUUCCACUUCCCAACAGUGUGCAAUUCAAUCCUGCAGUUGCUAAAAUACACUUAAUUUGACAAUCCAUUCAUUCAUUCAUUCCAUCUCAUCGCCAAAGAAGACGCCGCUUUUCAAAGCAGUAUUGACACUGAGAAAUUGAAUCGGAUUCGCAAUGGCACACCCAAGCACUCAGCUCGCAGCCAACAGUCCCAAAAAGACACCACAGUCAACCCCAGCAAAGACUUCUGGCACGAACCCAUCCGAAGAAGUCGCGAUCGACGACUCAAAUAAAGCCACGACGGCGUCAGAGGCGACCGUGUCCAGUCUUGGGAACAUUCAAUUCCCAAUGAUCAUUCCAAUUAUACAAAGAUUCGGAUGUCUUCGAAUCUUUCGAUUUUCUUCGCUCCUACUUGGCAUGCAUUGUUAAUCUCGAAAUAAUGACGUCAUAUUCGAUUUUUGAAUUUCUAGAAUUCUCAUCGGAAAUUGUAAACGAGUGCUACCAUGCAAAACAAAUGGUCAACUUUAAGAAAUCACGCAAAAUUCAAGACCACAAUCGUCGUUUCUUCAGCAGUAUUUUUAGAGGGACUAAUUGUAAAUAUCAUAAUAAAUUGUUUGUAAACUAGAAACAAACUUUUAGAAACAUGUUGAAAUUAGAAUGUAUACGUUGUGAUGUUUCCCAGUUUUACAUGUGACAAUGAAAUGGCUAUACUUUCCUUAAUUUACAUAUGUACUGUUUCAAUAUGAUUUAAUUUGGUAAUGUUGGUGUAUCAAUUUCUGUGCAUUAUUAUUUGUACUCUUAUCAUUGCCCUAGUGCCAUACAUAGACCUUGAUUAUUAUUGUUAGUAUAUUGCAACAGAAGGAUCGAGAUCAAUUGAAUUGUCUAAUUAAUCAUAAUUCUUUAUUAUUCCGAAAACAAUGGUUUGUAAUUUAAGGCCAAAUUUAACAAAACUACUGUAGCUCAAGUACGUAGUUUUGUUUUGCCUAGAUUUUGAUCCGUAAAGUUUUAAGAAAUUGUGUCAAUUCCAUCGAGUUAAUAUGUAGAACUGCACAAAUUACCAUGAACAUUUCGAAUUUUGACAUCCAAUCAAUCAAUCAUCAAAUAAUCUAGUCAAUGAUUGUAACGAAUUAACUGUUUCACUAUCUUUCUCUGAAAUCCAGCAAUAUUCUCAUCGUAUACAAUAUAACAUUACAAUAGCUCCAUAGCCUUAAACAAAUGAAUUUCUGAGAGUUCAAAUUUUGUGUUACAAGAGCACAUCAAUCAAUGAAACGGAUCCAGAAGGUUAACAAUAAUUUCCAACACGUCCAAUGCAGUAGAUGACACAAUUACAUUUUAUAGGAGUUUCUCUCACAAAUUCGAAAAAUCGGGUCAUUGACAACGUUCUUAUUCAGAGAUGAAUAAUAAAAUAUUUUAUACUUUUGAAAAAGCUUUUAUUUGUACAUUUGAAAUGAUCAAGUUUUUCUUCCAUGAGUAUAUCAAAAGUGACAUUGACACAUGGGUGACGUGUACAAAGUUGUGUUUUUGCGUGCAAAUGGUGGGUGAGAUCCCGACACCGAUAAUCUUGUAAAGAUUAGAAAGUAUGUACAUAUAAACAUAAAUAUGUGGUCCCUCUGUUUAACCCAUGGUGCGUGAAUAUCUUUGUAGUAAUACAAGUUGGCGUGCAAAGUGAGUCUGUCGAUAAUUUAUAAUCUUAUGUUAAUUGUUGUGUUCGUAAACCUGUCGUCAAAUCAGCACUCACUUUUGCUCAUUUGACAUCCUAGCCAUCCUCGGUCUAUGGAAAGUGGUUUUUGUGUAUUUAUUAGUGUUUCACAAUGGUCAAUGGUGUCGAGUCGAGCUAAAUAAACGGAAUAGUUUACGGGUUAAUAUUUAAAUUA